ACUCUGAGAAGAUCACUCCAUUGAAGACUGUUCUAAGAAAAAGCAGGAUCAGAAGAGAUUGGGAACUCAAAGAGGUCUUGAGACCAAUGUUAAACACUUUGCUAGAAUCUGGAUCAGUUCAUGGGGAUUUUAGAUCUAGAGACGAGAGUGGUGAUGAGAGCAGUUUCCAUGAACCUAUGGAAAUGAAACCUCUGGAAAUUAAUCCAUCAUGUCCAGCAGAAGAAAAUGAUGUAUCUGUCCUGAUUCCUGUGGGGGACCAACUACCAGAAGCCCGUCUUUCCACUGAUGUUCCAGGAAAAAAGGGUUCCAAUCCAAAUCACAGCUUUCCACCAGAAACCACGGGGAUUUUUCAAGACAACAGAUUUGGACAUUUGGACAUCAGUGAUAAAUUGAGUACUGACCUCUUCCAGGACAAAAGUGAGGAGGCUUCCCUUAACCUAGUGUUUGAGCUGGUAAGUCAGCUACAGUGUCACACUCACAAAGAGAAUGGAAUUGAAAUUUGCAUGGAGUUUCUCCAUGGCACUUGUAUUUAAGGCAGGAAUUAUUUGAAGCAGCACACGGUGUUGCUAUAUCAUGGGCAGAUCAAAAGCCCAACUGAUCAAAAGUGGCAGAGUAUUCUAUGAUUCUCAGAAAUACUCAGAAAGAUUUUAUUGUAACACAGAAAAAGAUAAAAUGAGAAAGAAGUGUGGGUAUGUAUUAUAACAACUUGUAAAAACUGUUAAAUGCUGUAGAGAAAGUAAAAAGGUAAAAGUAAAUUAGUUUCAUUAAAAAAAGAAAAAAAAUUAUUGAAAUAGCCAUAAUGUUACCCACAUUAAUAAUUUGUAAAUGCACAUGUUAGUGGCAUUGAAUCCUCAUAUCUUUGGACAUAAUCAGCAGCAAGAUCAUGAUAUUAAUAUUUCUCACUGCCACUCAUCAUUGAAUGUGGAAAUUCUCUGUAGAGCAUUUAGACAAGAACUAUAGCAGAGAUAGGGGAAGAAAUUGCUUUAUCACUACUCUCAGAAAUCAGGAUCCUAUACUUCAAAUUCCAAUAAGAUUUCUCAAGAAAACCCAGGGUAUUAAUAAUUAAUUUCUGCAUAGUUGCUAUGAAUAAGUUUAUAUAUCGGCAAUGACAAAUAUACAAAGAAAUUUAGAAGAGAAUUUCCAUUUCCAAUAGCAUUUAAAAUGCAAAUUUUACCUAGGGAAAUUAGGCUUAUAUAAUUAAAUGAAUACAUUACUGCAAAAAAAGAGAAAAGCUCCAAGUAGAGUUUUCUCAUAAUAGCACAGAAUAAUACUUAUAGAGAGACAAAGUCACCAUGAGAGUUGUACAAAAACUCCAUAAAAUUCAGCAAAACUAGAAAACCAAUGGAUGAGCAAAGCUGAGGACAUGCUGGUAUGAAUGUGGGAAAUGUGAGCAAAAAGUAAGCAGGCAGAGAGCAACACAGGCUGUACUGUACAUCCUGAAUGAAGAAAUACAUUACACAAGAUCUGGAAUGUUACUACCUGUUCUUUGCUUUUGCAUUAUACUCCAAAAUAAAACUACUGUGCUGGCACAGGA